rnacentral:lncRNA from 1 species
GACUUCUGACCUAAGUAGCUGGGCAGGCUGAUACGAACAGACAAAGCGAGCUAUUUUGGAGGCUAGUAAACUUUCAUUUUAGACUAAACUUUGGUUCAGAACUAUCCCUAAGAGGCCAGGUGUGGUGGCUCACACCUUAUAAUCCCAACGUUUUGGGAGGACAAGGCAGGAGGAUCACUUGAGGCCCGGAGUUCAAGACCGGCCUGAACAACAUAGCGAGACCCUAUCUCUACCAUAAAAAAGACCCAGAACAUCCUCGCCAGCCUGUGCUCCCUAUGGGGCACCCCCUCCAGUGGAAGUGAGGGCAGCCACGCACCCCUGGGAAUGCCUUAGAGAGGGGCCAAUUGCCAUCGCCAGGGGCCUGACUCUGCAACCAUCCACACCUACGGGGAGUCCAUUUGAGAGAUGAGGAAGCUGAAGCUCCAGGCCCCUGGCUCGUGCUGGUCACCCAACCACCCGGAACCUGGUCGCCAACCCGCUGUCAGUUGCUCGGCAGUGGACUCCUCUCCUGGCUCAGGGCGCGGUUCCGGCAGGCGUCCACCAGGUGGCAGCACCGGCACAUUCUGCAGGCUGUUCCGGCUCAGAGCUCGAUGUAGUGCUCUGGGGUAACCUGGGCCCCAGCCUGUCCCCUCCCGCCCCCUGCAGCCCCUCCUCCCACCGCCUGCAGCCCCUCCUCCCGCUCUGUCCAGCUUCGAACAGGCCACUCAGGCCUCCCAGCCUUACUUCCACCGUGGCCCAGGCCAUGACCUUGGCCCCAACUCUGGGCCCUGCCCUAUCUGUCCUUCCUGGUGGUCUGUCUCAUUCACUGCCCUACCCAGGGGAACAGCACCUGGGGCUGGGGGGCAGAUGGCCACGUGGUCCAAUGGUCUCCUUCAUGGCUGGGGUGAAGCUGGGUGGGGUCAAGGGAAGAAGAGGUGGAUCCCAACGGGGGCAGGGCCAGCCAGGGCCUCCCAUCUCCCCUCAGGCCAGGCCUCUGGAGAUGGGGGUGGAACACCUUCCAUGGGAGGCUGCCCCUGGGAACAGGCCUGUAUACUCCCGCCUCGGCCCACCACACAGCCUGUCCCCAAACCUGUUGGGGUGGCGGUGCCCACCAGGAGGAGCUGGGGAGGACCAGCUGCUCUGAGGAUGCUGCUUCCCUCCCAGGACUCCCCACUCCCUCCCUGGCCACCCACUCUUCCACCCAGCAAAGUGAGCCAAAAAUUUGAAAAGCA